AGCCGCCACCGAGCGUCGGGGGCCGCGAGUCCUUUGGAAGCACUGAUGAGCUCAUGAGCAACAGGUGUGCGGCCGCACGGGGAGCCCUACGGCGCCACCUGUCGCUCCCAAAACCCAAUCGUGACAGCGGUCUGCCGGGAACGCCGCUUUCGGGCCACGACGCCGCCUCGGUGGCAAAGGGCCACGCGCCCAUCGACUCCCGUGGACUUGAGAUCCGAGCGGGCCAAAGUGACCGGCGCCAUCGUCACACGCUCGCGGAAACUCGUCCGAGUGGCGCCUCAAGAGGUCCCGCUUCUUCGCUCACGUUUCCUUCCCGUCGCCAUCGUCCGACUCUUUCCGACCCAUCGGCGCAUCUUUCGAGCACUCAAACGAACGUUAUUUGAAAUUUGUUCUCACUCUUUGAUAGAAUUAAAGAUGUUUUUGCACACA